ensembl:antisense Gm28154 predicted gene 28154
AGGAGGAGGAGACCAGCAGCCCCAAACUGCAACCUUCCACUGGGCUCCAUAAACUGGCCUAAAACUCUGAUUCCUUUUCUGGAGGGCUGCCAGGAAAAACAACACACCUAAAAGCUUUAGUUUAAAAAUGAGCAAACACACUAUGUUUGGUGUGAUUCUUUACAGAGGAGUAGAUAGCAAGAAAUACUCAAACUCAGAGCUGAAAUAAAUCAAUUAGUAACAAAGAAAACAAUACAAAGACUCAAUGAAAGAGUUGGUUCUUUGAGAUCAUCAACAAGAAAUCCUUAUCCAAUCAAACUAAAAGGCAGAGGCAAUAUCCAAAUUGGCAAAAUCGGAAAUCAAAAGGGGGCUAAAAACAACAGACAAUGAGGAAAUCUAAAGAUUUGUUAGGUCUUACUUCAAAAACCUGUACUCCACAAAAUUGUAAAUUCUAAAUGAAAUGGACAAUUUUCUUGACAGAUACCAUUUGCCAAAGAUAAAGCAAGAUUGAAUAAACAAUUUAAAGAUGUAUCCUUAGGAUAAACAGAAAAGGAAAGGCUAUGUCUUAACAAUGCUAUGCUUGUGUGUCAAUUUACAUAGGGAUCAAUUAUCCCAGCUAGUUUUACCUGAACUUGACAAAGGCUACAUUCAUCUGAAAGUUGGGAACGUCAGUUAAGAAAAUCUGUCUAUAAGAUAAAACUGCAGAGCAUGUUCUUUACUAGGGAUUGAUAUGAGAAGGCCCAUUUCAUUGUGGACAGUGCUAUUGCAUGGCUGGUGGUACUCAGUUCUAUAAGGAAGCAGGUUGCAGGCCAUAAAGAACAAGAGGAUAAGCAGCACUCCUCCGCGCAUCUGCAUUUUCUUCUGCCUCCAGGUCACUCCCCCAUAAGAAUUCCUAUCCUGAUUACCUUCAGUAAUAUGGAAGUAUAAGCCAAGUAAAUCCUUUUUUUCUCCAAUUUGUUUUAUAUUGUAGUGUUUUAUCGUAGCUAUAGAAGCCCUACUUUAGACAAGGCCUCUACAGAGAGCCUCUUAGAGAUUGCUCCUGACACAAGUGUGCAUGCAAAAUGACAGACUAAGAAGACAAAAGUAUCAUCUACAACAGUUGGUUCAAGUGUCUCAUGUAUUCUUCAAUAAGACUGUGCCCAUCCUAAGUUAAAUACCAAGUGAGGAAGAGAGAAUGAACUCAAAACAGGACUCUAGUGCUUUCCUAAAAAUGGCCUCAUCACUGUGCAUAAAUGUAGAACAAAUUAUUUAGACUCUAAUCAUUGUUUCUGUAAAGCAAGGAUCUUUGGAGAGGAAAGGCUGCUCAGAUUUACAUUAAAUGUGGUGCAGAAAGGAGAGAGUUAGGUUAAAAUCAGGUGAGCUCAUCUACAGUAGCAAGUUCUCUCUCUCUCUCUUUUUUUUUUGCUUCAUUUUCAUUUUUCUCUUUUGACUAGUCAAAAUGAUUACGUUUUAAGCCAGUGACAUAUAGUAUAAAUGACCCUAGAUUAUGAUGAAAGUUUUAAUUAUUGCUUGCUAAGUUUUUUUUUUUGUAUAGACAUAACUUAUUCCAAAAUGACACGGCAUUCCCUCUUAUUGUUUAUUCUGUAAAGAAGAAAUGGAUUAAUAGGCCAGAUGUAGUAGUGUAUAGAUCAAACAAAAUGUAAGAUUUGUUGUUUUAUUUUCCAAGUUCUUUCUAAACCAGAAACUUGUUUGCUACCUUUUGAGAAGUAUGUUCAAGUAGUCAUUGAGACCUGUGCCAAGAACCAGCCCAAGCUGAUGGCUGUGGUUAGUGGAAAUCUUAUUUGUUUUGUGAACCAGAUCCAGUGGGGAGAAAAAAAGGCAACUUUUGAACAAAAUUGUAAAAAGAAACAGGUCUAAAAAAAUUGAAAUAUUUAAUCCAAAGAAGAUAAUAAUGAUUAAGUGGAAAAUAAUGUUCAUACCCUCUUAUUUUGACUUCACACACUGGAAACUUUUUUAUGGUCCUAUAGUGCUGCUGUCACUGUGGAGAGUUGUGCUCCAUCAGCAGUAGUUUACUGAUGAUAUUUCUCUCAGUCUUGGGUUAAAUAGUGGCACAAAAGUUUAGUUGGUAAAUUUCUUUGAUAACUAUUUUAAAUGAAAAUUUGUCAACUAAUACAGGGCUUUACCUAGAAGAGCACUCCUAGUAAGUCUUUAGCUGGACAGCUCUAGCAGGACAUGGCUAGUUUCUAAGCAUAGAGUUGAACUUGGCUCAAGAGGUCUCUCCUCCAGGUGCUGACAUGACCUUAUUUCUGAAUAAAUUAGCUUCAGUUUUGGAAGAAAUAUCAGCAUAGAUACUUAUCCAAUCACAAUUCAUGUCCAAAAGUACCAUAUUAAUUCCUACUUGGCAAAUUAAUGUAGAAAAUAACCUAGAAAAAAUAGCUUUUUUAACUAACUGCCCUUGGUGAGCACUGAGUUUAUUGUUCUCCUACUUUAACAGCAUCUUCUUUCCCCUAAAGGACAACCACUUCAUUGUAUAUUUUUAAAUUGAAUUUCAACUUUUUAUGUAUAGUCCCCUCAGUGAAAACUUUUUAGAAUUGUUUUAUUUUCUGUCAUGAUCAAAAAACAAUGGAGGCCAUACAAAAAGUUUCACCUGUUUGGCAAGGUUAAUGGUAGUUUGCCAUAGUUGGUAUUAAAAUGUUAUGGUCAUCAAGAGUCAUCAAGCCUCUACAAGACCAAGCUUAUCUCCUCCCAUUGAGGGCAGACAAGGCCAUGUAUGCUCCUCAGUAGGUGGCUUAGUCUCUGGGAGCCCUGAGGGGUCUGAUGAGUGGAUAUUGUUUAUCUUCCUUUGGGGUUACAAUCUUCUUCUGCUCCUUCAGUCCUUUCCCUAACUCUUCCAAAGGGGUCUCUGAUCUCUGUCCAAUGAUUGUCUGUAUCUGAAUCUGUCUCAGUCAGUUGUCAGUAGAGCCUCUCAGAGGACAGCCAUGUCAGACUCCUGUCCGCAAGCACAACAUGGCAUCAGCAAUAGUGUCGGAGUUUGGUGCCUGAGCAUGGAAUGGAUCCCAUGUUGGGCUGUCUUUAAAUGGACUUUUCUUCAGUAUCUGCUCCAUUUUUUUCUCUGCAUUUCCUUUAGACAGGAACAAUUCUGAGUCAAAAUCUUUGAGAUGAGUAGAUGGCCCCAGUUAUGAUGAAUGUUAUUUAACUUCUGUUUAAUGUUCUUUCAACUUGAGGUGUUCUUUGAAUAAUGUCAAGCAUCCAUUAAUAUUUUGAAAUAGUAAGAUAGCACUUACCCACAAUUCUAUAGCCAUCUAAAUUUUAUUGCACGAUACAUAAAUUACACAUUAAUUCUAUUUUUAUUUUCAUGAUAAAGUUUGGUUACUUUUUGCAUCUAAAAUUGUUAUUGGGAAACUAUGUUUUCCAUCAUAGAGCUUUAGAAACAAAAGGGAUGUUUCAAACAGCUAAAACAAAUAUCUUGUCCUGUCUAAAAGAACUACAGAGAUAAAAAUUGAGCAGGGACUGAAGGAAUGGCCAACCAACAACAAGCCCAUCCCCUGGGCAAAGACCAGUUCCUGACACAAUGAUACUCUGUUCUUCUUGCAGAUUGGAGCCUAGAAUAGUUGUCUUCUGAGAGGCUCUACCCAGCAGCUGAUGAAACCAAAUGCUGAUACCCACAGUCAAACAUUAGAAGAAGGGAUGCCUUAUGUGGCCUCAGUAAGAGAAAAUUUGCCAAACUCAGCAGAGACUUGAUAGUACCACGGUUGGAGAAUACCCAGGGAGGGACCAUGGGCAUAGUGAUGAGGCUGGAGAUGAAGAACAGGAGAGGAUGAAGAAGUUCAGUAGAGUGCUUUGACUUCUACAACUAUCAAAAAUGCCCAUCUGACUGUUUAUCUCUCACUCCAGUUAAUGACUCAGGAAAUGGAACUCAACUUGGUACUUACUUUGGAGCAUAGUUGCACACCAAGUACACUGCUCUUCGCCACACAGAUCCCCAGACGUUCAUGUUUUGGAUCUCACUAUGGAUCUCAGGAUGGACUUUUCUGCCACCACCUCCUGUGCACUGAUUUACAAGUGUGCUCCAUCACAACGGGAUUUGCACUUAGAGGUUGGGAACCUGACCAGUACCAGCAUGUAUGAUUCACAAAAUCCACUGUUAUCAUUUCUAUUAUGUUAACACAGAUGUAUUUUUCUUUAUAUCCAUUUCAAAUUCUUAAAGAUAAUAAAUUUAAAAUUUGUG